CUUGCAGUGGACCCUCUAAGCAGUGUCCCCCACUUCAUGACUCGUGUGCCAGCUCCAAUGUUGCAACUGUAGUAGGGGGUUUAACUUCUGAAGUAAAUAACAAAAGCUGCGUCCCAUCUGCACAAUGUCUCAAUGGUUCCCUGAACUUAGGAAGUGUAAGGAUCAGACAGAGCACCUUGUGCUGUGGCACAGACAACUGCAACACCGGAAGUCCUCCAGCUGAUGUAAAUUACAUGGCCAAUGGGAGGCAGUGUUUCACCUGUGACGUGACGGGCUGCUCAUCAAGGAUUCAAUGUGCCGGUGAUGAGGAUCGCUGUGUCUCUGCAACAGCUGGACAGAGCACUGCCGCAAAAGGCUGUGCCACCCAAAAUGCCUGCUCUGGAGCGUUUUCACAGGCGCUGGACUUGGUGGCUGUGGAACUGCACUGCUGUGAGGGGGAUCUGUGCAACAGUGCCUGGAGUGCUACACACAGUGUCCUGUUCCUGCUCUGGCCCCUGGGCUCUGUUCUGCUCUUCCACUGAGCUGGCUUCAUCUCAGGGUGACCCCUCUGCUUGGAGAUGGGCUGCUAUUUUCAACACAAACUUGUUAAUGGCUGUUAAAGCAAAUAAACAAAGAUUUGUUUUCA